GAUGAACGCUGGCGGCGUGCCUAAUACAUGCAAGUCGAGCGAACGGACGAGAAGCUUGCUUCUCUGAUGUUAGCGGCGGACGGGUGAGUAACACGUGGAUAACCUACCUAUAAGACUGGGAUAACUUCGGGAAACCGGAGCUAAUACCGGAUAAUAUUUUGAACCGCAUGGUUCAAAAGUGAAAGACGGUCUUGCUGUCACUUAUAGAUGGAUCCGCGCUGCAUUAGCUAGUUGGUAAGGUAACGGCUUACCAAGGCAACGAUGCAUAGCCGACCUGAGAGGGUGAUAGGCCACACUGGAACUGAGACACGGUCCAGACUCCUACGGGAGGCAGCAGUAGGGAAUCUUCCGCAAUGGGCGAAAGCCUGACGGAGCAACGCCGCGUGAGUGAUGAAGGUCUUCGGAUCGUAAAACUCUGUUAUUAGGGAAGAACAUAUGUGUAAGUAACUGUGCACAUCUUGACGGUACCUAAUCAGAAAGCUACGGCUAACUACGUG
rnacentral:rRNA from 1 species